CGGGAAGGAGGGGGCUAGUGUGUGCAGGAUCAGCGCGAGGAAAGUUUCUUUCUACGCGCUAGAAACAUCAUAAAAGCAACGCUUUGCCGCCUGACCUGAGGCACUUGAAGUACAACAGUGGAGACGAGCCUUGCUGUGGAAUCACUUCUACCUCAAGCGGGAUGUUUGUUUUGAUUCCAGACCUCCGCUGCCUUGCGCCCAUAUCCACUCAUGGGAACGGCUUCAGGAUUAAACCGAGGACAAAUCCGGAGCUGGAGUCCCUAAGUCAGUCCGAUGUUGCUUUCAACCUCGCUCUGGUAACUCCUGCGACGAUACCGGUGCCAAGCUGUAUCGGCCCUUGCCCUUCCCUUGGACAACAUCCGUGGCAUGGAGAGGGGAGACUUGCUGCAUGGGCAACAGCCGGUCUUCCAUACAACCUUGCUCAGGCCUGUGCCCUGGAGAAGUCUUUCCAGGAGCAGAUCCAUGGUCUCACAAGACUAACAGAUGCCAUACAUACACUCACUGGCCACUUUAUUAGGUGCACCAUUACACCUGCGUGUUAAUGCAAAUAUCUAAUCAGCCAAUCAUAUGGCAGCUAAUCAAUUCAUAAAGACAUGCAGACAUAGUGAAGAAGUUCUGUUGUUGUUCAAACCAAACAUCAGAAUGGGGAAGAAAUGUGAUCUAAGUGAAUUUGACUGUGGAAUAAUUGCUGAUGACAGAUGAGGUGAUUUGAGUAUCUCGGAAACUGCUGAUCUCCUGGAAUUUUCAUGCAGAACUGUCUCUAGAGUUCUCAGAGAAUGGUGCAAAAACAAAAACAUGCAGCGAGCAGAAGUUCAGGGGCAAAAAACCCUUGUUAAUGAGAGAGGUCAGCCCAUCUAGUCUGUGUCAAACUAUGAUACUGCCUCGUCCCAUCUCCCUUUACCUGAACUGUAGCCCUCCAUACACCUCCCAGAAGAAAAGUUUUAAGAGGAAAGGAGAAAAUUCUCCUUUCUCUUAAAUGUUGAAUUCAAAUGUGCAUGCAUCACUUCUGCUGGCAGAUCUCACCACCCCCUAACUGAAGAAGUUCCCCUUCAUUUGCCUUAAACACAUCAUCUUUCACCCUUAACCCAUGACCUCAAAUUCUUGUCUCACCCAACCUCAGUGGCAAAAAUCCAUUUGCAUUCACCCUGUCUAUACACUCUUUGUGUUGUAUUCAGUGAAUAUUAAUAAAUAACAUGUUUGAGAGUUGUUGGCAGGACAGUCCGAAGGAUGGAACAUUGUCCCUGGGAACGUUCUGUAACCUGCACCUUCGACUCUCUGACGACUGGAUGCACUGUGAAUGUGUCCGAUGUCAAGUCCUGGGCCAUCAGCCGAGUAGCAGAGAACUGCUUUAACACUUGAAAAAAAGUAGGAAAUUAUAAACAGCGUGGAUCAGAUGAAGGUAACACAGCUCUGGGAUGCUACUGCUGGGAACAGAAUCUUGCCUUUAAAGUUCUUUUGUUUCUUGUCAAUGCGCCAGCCCAUCCUAAACAUUUGUACAACAUUCAUCCUAACAUAACAGUGCCUUUCCUGCUGCCUAACACAUCGCUGAUUCAACCACUCGACCAAGGUGUGAUCCACAUUCAAGGCAUAUUUUUUUUACAGCGAACUAUCUUUCAGAUGCUGCAAGCAAUAGACGAUUUUGAAAAUCCCUGGAGUUUACCGACAGUGAGGGAGUGGUGGAAGUCAGAACACUUGGCACAAAUGGCGAUGGACAUGGACCCAAGUUUAGAACGGAGUCAGCGUUUCAGUCGUUCCCUGCCAUCAACCCUUCUUCCCCACAAGCAAAUUUAUGCUGAAAAACAAAAUGCUGCCAAGCAAACAACCCUCACCAUCUUUCUUCAAACCGGUGUCAUCCCCUGCUGCUGGCAGUUCUCAGAGUUCUGUGAGUCUUCCUUCACCCCUUGCUGUGCUUGAUGACCCUGACAACCACAAUCAUCCAUGAUGUAAAGCUGCCGGACACCACCACAACCACUCAUCUCCCGGAGCAAACACAACUGCCACUGUUGGAUCGUGUGUUAUAAGUUUUGCUCCAGUACCAAGAUCUACCGUGAAACUCCAUCUCUCCAUGUUCAAGGCUCUGUGUCAAGAUUCCUCCUGUUUGAAGUUCAACGCUCACGCCCGUGUUUCUUUUGAAGACCCUGACCUGGAGUUACACGUUGACUACGGUUCUUUGUGGGAAUGGGACCCACUCUUGGGGUUUCACGACUGGCCGUUGUUCGGCACGCCAAGAGCGCAGCUUAAGAGCUUAGCUCACUUUCGGAGGGCCGAGAUUUCGUGGCUCUGAAGUCGGGCGGAUCGAAGGUCGGUCUCAGGACAGUGAGAGAAUUGGAUAAAUAACUGGCGGAGAAGAAUUUGCAGGACUACAAACGGUGCAGAGAAUUGGAAAACUGCUCUAGCAGAAAGCCAGCAGGGACAUGAUGGGCCAAAUAGCCUUCUUCUGUGUUGUAAGUAUUCAAUGAUUUUAUUUUCUAGCUUCUUAAUGUUGUCUCUUUGGGGGAUGGAAGUUCUUGUUUACCUAAACUUGAUCAACAUCAAUUUGAUCAAAACAAGAAUUAAAGGAUUCUCUGUAAAGCCUUGGAGAACUAGGCACACCACGACUACGUAAAUGACAUUAGUUCAAUGAACAGGAACAAUCACACAAAGUUUAUGCUUGCCAGCCUAUUAGCUUCUAUAACUGAGAGCUAUGUCCUGUUUAAUUCUAUCUAUUAGUGAAAUGGCUCAUGGUGGAUUUUGAAACCUGUUAGGGGUACUCUGUGCUGCUUUGGAGCCAUGAACUCCAUAUGCAUCCAAAACGAAGCUGACAUAAACUGAAAAGUAUGAGCUGCAAGACCAGUGCAAGUCUGCAUGCCUUUAGUGCCUUUCCCUGUUGUGAAAUGUCUUUGCUGCAGGAGUUUCCAAUAACUGCUCCAUCACUGCUGGUACUGCCUCAGUGCAGUCACAGCAACCCCUCUCCCCGUAUAAAUAAGACCACACAGGUUCAUCACAGAGAUCAGUCAGUAAGGCAAAUUCCAUGGAGAUGGUGUCAAUAGCGCUUCUCGACAGGAUUUCAUACUGAGUAUACACAUAUAUGGACCACUGCCACAGGAGAGCAGCAUUCAUCAUCAAGGUCCAUACUUCCCAGGCCAUGCUUGCUUCUUGCUGCUGCAGUUAGGAAGGAGGUGCAGAAACCUCAAGACACACCAGCAGUUUCAAGGACAGUUAUUACCCCUUGACCAACAGGAUCUUGAAAAAGAGGAAAUAACUUCACACACUUCUCUUACCCCAACACUGAACUGUUCUCACAACUUAUGGACUCACUUUCAAAUAUUCUUCAUCUCAAGUUCUCAAUAUGUUUUGCUUAGUUAUUAUUGUUGCUGCACUUUUUUUAUUUUUUUUUCUCAGCUCCAGCUGGUAAAACCUGAGGAACAGACAAAGCUAAACACGCUCAUGUCUCAGUUGCUAGGAGCCGUCAGAUUAUUGUAGUGGUGUUUAGCAUUUUACAUAGAUAUUGUUCUGUAGCCCUAAUUGUUCAAUGCUGUGGUGUAGUGACCUUGAGAUGGUAUCAUUUGUAGAUAUUAUUAGGACAAUGAAUACCCUGUUCAUGUUCCAUAGUCUUGAAAUUUCCUUUUUUAAUACAGCAUUUUUCUGGUGUUUUUACUUACAGAUUUCUGUAUAUGUGCGUGAGAUGGCUAUAUUUAUGAAGUAAGCUGUUCUUACU